CUCAAAAGUCGGUCGUGUAAUCGACUCGCAUAAAAUUAAAUCGGCGUGUGGGCCUUUCACGCGAUGCCCACGCGAGUAUUUAUCAAUCGCCCGAUGUAUUUCACGAUUAUUAUAUCCUUCCUUCACCACGAUAUCCCCAUUGCCACUCAUUAUCCACCGUCCACGAUCUCCAUUAUUCUCUUACGUAUCAGCUCGAAGAAGCAAAUAUUAUCCUCCGUUUCGAUUUCCAAGACGGGUGAAUGAAAACGGUCGCGCGCGCGCGAUUCGCCCAGAUUCCGUCCCAACUUACGACCUUGGGGCGAGCGAUACUACGAGGAGGAGC
rnacentral:lncRNA from 1 species